rnacentral:rRNA from 1 species
UCUACGGGGGGCUGCAGUGGGGAAUAUUGCACAAUGGGGGAAACCCUGAUGCAGCGACGCCGCGUGAGUGAAGAAGUAUUUCGGUAUGUAAAGCUCUAUCAGCAGGGAAGAAAAUGACGGUACCUGACUAAGAAGCCCCGGCUAACUACGUGCCAGCAGCCGCGGUAAUACGUAGGGGGCAAGCGUUAUCCGGAUUUACUGGGUGUAAAGGGAGCGUAGACGGCAGCGCAAGUCUGAAGUGAAAUCCCAUGGCUUAACCAUGGAACUGCUUUGGAAACUGUGCAGCUGGAGUGCAGGAGAGGUAAGCGGAAUUCCUAGUGUAGCGGUGAAAUGCGUAGAUAUUAGGAGGAACACCAGUGGCGAAGGCGGCUUACUGGACUGUAACUGACGUUGAGGCUCGAAAGCGUGGGGAGCAAACAGGAUUAGAUACCCCUGUAGUC